CUGUAGCUCAGUGGUAGAGCAGGUGACUGUUAAUCACUUGGUCGUUGGUUCGAAUCCAACCG
rnacentral:tRNA from 1 species